UACGGAGGGAGCAAGCGUUACUCGGAAUCAUUGGGCGUAAAGGGCGCGUAGGCGAUUCGGUAAGUCUCAUGUGAAAGCCCACAGCCUAACUGUGGAAGUGCAUGAGAUACUGUCGAAUUUGAGUUCAGGAGAGGAAGGCAGAAUUCCCGGUGUAGCGGUGAAAUGCGUAGAUAUCAGGAGGAACACCGGUGGCGAAAGCGCUCAUCUGGCCCAAUACUGACGCUGAGGCGCGAAAGCUAGGGGAGCAAACGGG
rnacentral:rRNA from 1 species